UGGGGAAUAUUGCACAAUGGGCGAAAGCCUGAUGCAGCAACGCCGCGUGAGUGAUGAAGGCCUUCGGGUUGUAAAGCUCUGUCUUUUGGGACGAUAAUGACGGUACCAAAGGAGGAAGCCACGGCUAACUACGUGCCAGCAGCCGCGGUAAUACGUAGGUGGCAAGCGUUGUCCGGAUUUACUGGGCGUAAAGGAUGCGUAGGCGGAUUUUUAAGUGAGAUGUGAAAUACCCGGGCUUAACUUGGGUGCUGCAUUUCAAACUGGGAAUCUAGAGUGCAGGAGAGGAGAAUGGAAUUCCUAGUGUAGCGGUGAAAUGCGUAGAGAUUAGGAAGAACACCAGUGGCGAAGGCGAUUCUCUGGACCGUAACUGACGCUGAGGCAUGAAAGCGUGGGUAGCAAAACAGGAUUAGAUACCCUGGUAGUCCACGCCGUAAACGAUGAGUACUAGGUGUAGGAGGUAUCGACCCCUUCUGUGCCGCAGUUAACACAAUAAGUACUCCGCCUGGGAAGUACGAUCGCAAGAUUAAAACUUAAAUGAAUUGACGGGGUCAUAGCUG
rnacentral:rRNA from 1 species